GUAGCAUAAUCAUUUGGGGUUUAAUUGGAACCUAGUAUGAAUGGUUGGACAAAGGAAAAGCUGUCUCUAUAGUAAAAGUUGAAGUUUACUUUUAAGUGAAAAGGCUUAAAUAUUUCAGAGUGACGAUAAGACCCUAUAAAGCUUUAUAAAUAAUCUAAGUUUUAUUAAUGUAAUAGUAAAAAUUAAGUUUAGUUAUUUUAUUUUGUUGGGGCGAUAUAGGUAUAAUUAUAAAUAACUGCUAAAGUAAAAGUUCUGUUAUGAAAGAAUUAAUAAUAAUGAUCCUUUAUAUAGAUUAAAAGAUUAAGUUACUUUAGGGAUAACAGCAUUAUUUUUUUUGAGAGUUCUUAUCGAAAAAGAAGAUUGUGACCUCGAUGUUGAAUUAAAAUGUCUAUAUAAUGAAGGUGUUAUAUAAGAGGGUCUGUUCGACCUUUAAAAUUUU
rnacentral:rRNA from 1 species